UACGAGGGGGGCGAGCGUUGUUCGGAAUUAUUGGGCGUAAAGGGCGCGUAGGCGGUCGGAUAAGUCUUGUGUGAAAUCUUCGGGCUCAACUCGAAGUCUGCACAGGAAACUAUCUGGCUUGAGUGUGGGAGAGGUGAGUGGAAUUCCUGGUGUAGCGGUGAAAUGCGUAGAUAUCAGGAGGAACACCUGUGGCGAAAGCGGCUCACUGGACCACAACUGACGCUGAGGCGCGAAAGCUAGGGGGAGCAAACAGG
rnacentral:rRNA from 1 species